GUCUAUAGCCAUACCACCCUGAAAGUGCCCAAUUCCAUCUGAUCUUGGAAGCUAAGCAGGGUUGGGCCCAGUUGCUAUUUAGAUGGGAGAACUAUGAAAAACCACACUAGGUGAUGAGAUG
ensembl:rRNA 5S_rRNA 5S ribosomal RNA